rnacentral:lncRNA from 10 species
GGGAGACUUAUGAUGAUUCAAAUGAAGCAAACUAAAAUGUAAUGAAGCAAGACAGAAGAAAAAGCAGUAUUCACUUGCGCACAUCCCAAAAGAAUAACAUUUCAAAUAUAACUAGAAAAAAGUAUGCUGAAGUUCGCAAUACAGAAAUAAUUAUUAAUACUCAAAAUAGCUUUAAAGCCCUGCUCAGAUUUUGAAUGUUGGGAAUUGACCUGGAGGUGGCUGUAACCUAAGAUGGUUCCUUCAGUAAUGAGCAUUUGUUCUUUUUCAAGAUGAUGAUUCUCCACCUUCUAAGAGACCAAAGACCAUUGAGACACCACAGCCACCAGUCCCGUAACCUGCCAAUGCUGGGCAACAGAAAGUGCGGGAGUUCAACUCUGGCCCUCACAAUCCAGUGGAGGAGACGAAACUCAUCUGCCUCUGUCCCUCUGGGCGCACCUCAUGCCGGUGCAUCUGUGGACAUGGGCCAUGCUCCUGGGCUUCCGAAGUUGGAGAAAGCUGCCAGGCUCAGGUGGGUACCUCAGAGCAGCUGCUGCCCUCUGGACACAGUGACAAAAGAACCCUGUGGGUCUGGAGCCCUGGUCUGGGGCAUUGGGCAAGGCUCUUGCACUUCUCUGAGCCCAUUUCCCCAUCUGGAUAGUGUGCUGAUUCUAUCUCCCUGUGGGCACUGAGGGCUCAGUGUUGGAGAGUCAGCAUCUGGGGUUUGGGCUGUAAUUCCCCUUCAGCCCCAUAGCUGGGGGGAGCCAGGGACUUUAUCGGGAUUAACCUAGGUGUCAUUCUAGCUUCCUGCCCCUGGCUUGGGUUCAGCAUCUGAAGUAGUCUAGGCGGCAGGUGGUCCUGGUGGGGGUUGGGGCUUUUCCCCAUUCUGAGGUCACACCCAGAGCCAGAAAUGUUGGUGCCUGCUCUGGGCAAAGGUGGCAGCCUGUGCGACAAGAGCGAAACUCCGUCUCAAAAAAAAAAAAACAAAAAACCUUCCACCAUUUCAAGGGGCUCACAUCUCCCUAAGGGCCCGGUAAUUGGCCUGAUCUGGCCUGCAGUUGGCCCCCAGGGUGCAGGUAACACCCCACCUUACCUGGCUUCUUUCUGCCAGGGCCAAUCUUCAGACCUCAGGACUUUCCAGCCUAUCCCACCUCCCUCUCUGGCCAGCCUUGAGCCCUUGUGGGUCCAGCAC